rnacentral:rRNA from 1 species
UACGUAGGGGGCAAGCGUUGUCCGGAAUCAUUGGGCGUAAAGAGCGUGUAGGCGGUCCGGUAAGUCGGCUGUGGAAGUCCAAGGCUCAACCUUGGGAUGCCGGUCGAUACUGCCGGACUAGAGUUCGGAAGAGGCGAGUGGAAUUCCCGGUGUAGCGGUGAAAUGCGCAGACAUCGGGAGGAACACCUAUGGCGAAGGCAGCUCGCUGGGACGUUACUGACGCUGAGACGCGAAAGCGUGGGGAGCAAACGGG